UGGGGAAUAUUGCACAAUGGGCGCAAGCCUGAUGCAGCGACGCCGCGUGAGGGAUGACGGCCUUCGGGUUGUAAACCUCUUUCAAUAGGGACGAAGCGCAAGUGACGGUACCUAUAGAAGAAGGACCGGCCAACUACGUGCCAGCAGCCGCGGUAAUACGUAGGGUCCGAGCGUUGUCCGGAAUUACUGGGCGUAAAGAGCUCGUAGGUGGUUUGUCGCGUUGUUCGUGAAAACUCACAGCUUAACUGUGGGCGUGCGGGCGAUACGGGCAGACUAGAGUACUGCAGGGGAGACUGGAAUUCCUGGUGUAGCGGUGGAAUGCGCAGAUAUCAGGAGGAACACCGGUGGCGAAGGCGGGUCUCUGGGCAGUAACUGACGCUGAGGAGCGAAAGCGUGGGGAGCGAACAGGAUUAGAUACCCUGGUAGUCCACGCCGUAAACGGUGGGUACUAGGUNUGGGUUUCCUUCCUUGGGAUCCGUGCCGUAGCUAACGCAUUAAGUACCCCGCCUGGGGAGUACGGCCGCAAGGCUAAAACUCAAAGGAAUUGAC
rnacentral:rRNA from 1 species